AUGCUCCUAACUGUUUCAAAGGAGAAAUACUUCUUAAAAGUUACUCAAAAACUUUGGCUUAUGGAUUUAGCUGUUCCUUUCUGUGUAGGUGAAGAGAGAGAGCCAAGUUUUCAAGUAUUUAUUUUAACAAUUAUUCCUAGGCUUGUCAUCUUCUCAGAGGAAAGGACCUCCCAUAUUCUGGUUAAGCCAUGUGUUCGUCGUGGGAAUGCUGAGCUUUCUUCAUUCAGCUGCAGUCAAGAUUAUCCUCAAUAUUACUUGAGGUGGCUCCAUUCUCCCAUUGUGCAUGGGCUGGUCCAUAGCUCUAAUACCAGCGAGCAUCCCAAGAUGGUUUCUGCCUGUGAGUUUCAAGUUGAAAGCGAUGCCUUUGUGCUCAGCCUUCUUCCCAGCCACAGUAACUUGUCAGCGGGUGACUUGUGCCACUCCAAAGGAACGAUGUCAGAGGAAACCUCCCGUCUCUUGGCUGAUGAAAGCCGCUCUACGUGGAGCCAGGUCUGGCUGCUCCCAUCAUCUGUUCAUUACUGCUUACUGUUACAGAACCCUCAAAAAUGGAAAACAGGCAAUUCAGAUUAUACUUUAUCUUAGAAGAUUUUGCUGAUCUCUACCACAGAUUCAUCAGGACUAAUGAGACAGGCUCUGAGGUCAGACUCAGGCUCGGGGCUGCACUUUGGUGCACACCAUGCAAGGGAUAUGGUGGCUGAACAGAAAGGGCUCGGAUCCCAAAGCCUCAGGGCUUACUACCACUGGAUACCUGAGCUGAAAGCUCUCUCCUGGAGUGCAGUUCUUCUGCAAGAAAGCCUAAGGAGCUGCAGCUGCACCUUCUCUACCUAUGCCUGGUGUUUACAGCACGCCAUGGCUAAGGGGACCCUUGGUCAGCUCCUCAACUCCUGAUGGACGCACAGCCUGCAGCAUACCAUGGGCCAGGAGAGUCGAUAGUUUGGUGGAGACUGUUCCACCCGCAUGUGAAUAAUUAGCACUGCAAGGACUGUGAGGCCCCAGGCCACUGACCAGGUCAUGCAGAUGGAAAGAAGAAAUGUGUUUCUAAGCCCCAUGCUGGCUGCUAAUGGCAUACCUGUGGGAUGCUGGGAUUCUUGGGAGCAUUUCUCUAAACUUUGUGCUGUGAAGAACAGCUGGCAGUGGCAGCAGUCAGGGGCUGGGAGCUACCCAGCCCUCCUGGCACUAAGGAGAUGGCUUUGUGCAUGUCCCUGAAGGGGGGGGUGCACCUUUCUGGGGCUACAUGAAGGUCUGGCGGUCUAUGUUAUCUUUUGAUUAUUGAAAGCUUGUUUCUUUAAACCCACCAUGACUGCUGAAGCUCAGUCCCAGAAGCUGUCGGUCAGGGAUGCUUUCUGGUUGCCAUUACAGGGAGGGGCUCCCUGACAGACAGGUGUGCAGCCUCACUAGGCCUCGCUAGGCCUCAGUAGACUUCUCUAGGCUUUGCUAGGCUUCACUAGGCUUUGCUAGGCCUCGCUAGGCCUCACUAGGCUUCUCUAGUCCUCACUAGGCCGCAUCACUGCCCAGGCAGUUCUUGACUAGGCCGUGCAGACUGGCCCAAGUUUAAUUUUAUACUUCACCUCAGUUUAAGUACAACACAGGCUGCUCUGUGCCACCCAGUGCUGGUGCAAGGAGUGGCAGUGGACCUACCAUGACAUUGCUGCCUGAAGGUCUUUCUUUAGGGGAUCUGUUAUGGGUGCCUCCUGGGCAACAGUUUCACACGUGACGCUGUUUUUGUUUUCAAUUCAUGCUGGACAAGGCUUUUUGCUUUUGUUGUACUGCUCCCAGCAUUUUCUGCUCUUUCAUUUUUAAUAUUGAACCUGUAUUUUGUAGAAAGGAAAUCAGUCAAAACUUUAUUCUCCCCACCAGCAAGUCGUUGGCUCAUGACUUCUGUUACAUCCAACUAUCAAAGCAAUGAAAGCCCUCACAUCACAUUGAAUUUGGGCUGCCUCUUGUCACAGGCAAGUGUGUGGCACCUCCUUGGAGCAGGACCCUAAAUUAAAAUAUUGUAAAUUUUUUGCUGCUCCAGCAGUACUGCAGAAAUGCAAGUGGCCAAGGGGGGAGGAGAUUUUUUCCUCCUGCUGGAAUUUUUCACUAUAACCAUCCUCAGGGGAGUUCUCAUCUUCAAAAGAAACAUUCCUUCUAUACAAGCUGCAAAAAGAAUUAUUUAAUGACAUCAUAAAUUAAUACAGAGAGGCACAAAUUUUCCAAAAUGUGGAGAGAGAGAAAAAAAAAUUAUCGUUUGCCAAAAACACCCCAGCUCUUCCAGACUUAGGCCUCUCCUGAGCCUGGGAGCUGCCAACGAUACCAAACUGAACAGUGGGGUUUCUGGCAUGACUUAAGUUUAGCUUGUUUAAAUUUUGGCAAAUAUUCGUAUUACUCACAUACUCAGCAAACUGAUACAAAUAUUUGUUCUAUUUAGAGUGAAGUCCAAACUCACUGCUGGCACCACUGCUGCUGGACUCGGUGGAACUAAUCUUGCUCAUGCCAAUAUUAAAUUUGGACAUCUACCUUAAAGAAAAACAGCCUUUGAGGUACAGAUUAGAAUACAUCAAUGGAAAACAGAACUCAUGUGUAGCCAAGUUUUCCUCACUUGCUAAUUUUCGCUUUAAUCUGAUUUGAACUGGACCAAGUUUUUCUGCACUUGGGCUACUACUCGCUGUUACGAUGCAGCCACCAGGUCAGAGCUGGAGCUGGAAAAGCCUUCAUGCACGUGAAGUUCUCUGCAUUCUUGAGAAGUGAAAUCUGUAGUAAAUAGAGCCUGGGCACAAUGAGAAUACUUGAUUGAUUUUAGUGCUGUACAAGUUGUUUUUUUAAUGAUGCCUGCAGUUUACUGUUUCUAGUUUGUAAAGCAAAUAGACAACCAACCAACCAGAUGGGAAAUGCAGACCUGCCUUGGGGCUUGGGUUCCUCAUCUGGUCACACCUGCACAUUGCCCAUGAGCUCUCUCUGGGUUCGGAUUCAGAAAACAGGUUAGGCAUUUUGCAAUGAGAAGAACAAAAUGAAAACCACCACCCUUCCAUUCCUUAAUGCAGCCAAAGCAUGCCCCAAGGGCUUGCUGGCUUUGGUUCUGUGUUCAGUUCAGCUGUGGUUUGUAAGCUGGAUGCUGUUUAAUGCUAUCUAAAUGUUUUUAUAAAGGUCAGGUAGGAGUGGGAUCCUCCUAACUUAAUUUUGCCAUUUAGAAAUGGGAAAUCUAGUCUGACUGAGCUAGAUUCCUCUGUGAGUGGAAAAUAUCAGCACUGCACAAUGAUUCAUCCUAUUUUAAUCUGUCUGAUCUCUCUCCAUUCACUAUAAAUGGGGCCCGGGUGACCAGAUUAGCAUAUAUCCAAAUUUUAGACAUGUAUGUGCUCACUCAGCCUUUUACGGUUGACCCUGCAGUGGCCAUACCAGGUACUAUUUUUAUUGCUCUUGGAGCUCGUGGUGUGCUGCAGGGCUCUGCACGGUGCCUGCACAACUCCUGUGGCUCCCAGGGCAGUGAACCUCAGCUGCGAGCUUUGCAGAAAUGCUGGCAGCACAGCCUGCUGCGUGCAUCCUCAGCCUCAGUCUUCAAACCUGGAUUGGCUACAGCUCAGGGCUCCUCUGUACUCCCUUAACAGAAAGCUAUUGGGACAAUUAUUAUAGGAGCUACUUUCAAAGCUGCCUUAAAUAAAUAAAUACUGCAUUGAUCA
rnacentral:lncRNA from 1 species